rnacentral:rRNA from 1 species
GAUGAACGCUAGCGGGAGGCCUAACACAUGCAAGCCGAGCGGGAUUUGUUGGUUAGCUUGCUAACUAACAAUGAGAGCGGCGUACGGGUGCGUAGCACGUGUGCAACCUGCCUUUAUCUGGGGGAUAGCCUUUCGAAAGGAAGAUUAAUACCCCAUAACAUAUUGAUUGGCAUCAGUUAAUAUUGAAAGCUCCGGCGGAUAGAGAUGGGCCCGCGUAAGAUUAGCUAGUUGGUGAGGUAACGGCUCACCAAGGCUGCGAUCUUUAGGGGGCCUGAGAGGGUGAUCCCCCACACUGGUACUGAGACACGGACCAGACUCCUACGGGAGGCAGCAGUGAGGAAUAUUGGACAAUGGGUGAGAGCCUGAUCCAGCCAUCCCGCGUGAAGGACUAAGGACCUAUGGUUUGUAAACUUCUUUUAGACAGGGAUAAACCUACUCUCGUGAGGGUAGCUGAAGGUACUGUAUGAAUAAGCACCGGCUAACUCCGUG